GGUGGGGUGCAGACAGAGCAUGUGGUGGUGGUGAUGUUUUACUAAAUUUACAUCCUGCUCUUCCUCCAAAGGAUCCCAGGACAGCAAACAACCAUUUAAAACAAAAACAUCUUAAAAAUUCCAGUACGGAUGCAGACUGGGAUAAAGAUCUCUUCUUAAAAGGCUUGUUGGAAGAGGAAGGUCUUCAGUAGGUGCCAAAAAAGGCGAGAAAGACUGCGCCUGUCUAAUAUUUACCAGGAAAGACUUUCCAAAGGCGAGGGAAGGCAAGACCAGGAUAGCUUGGGCACAUCUAGCCUUGGGACAUCGCCUCCACGUACCCGUUCACUUGGACAACGGAAGCUUUACAAAUGCUCACAUGGCGAGACAGGCAUGCAUCUCUACCCCCCCUCCUUGAUGAGGAGCUCUUGAUGCGUUGGUCUACUUUGUUCUGCACUGCCAGAGGUGCAGGAGUAAAGGCUCUGAUCUGAAUCCACACCCUAACUCCCAUUAGUGGUAAGGUGGGGUAUCUCACACAACUGGAAAGCCUUCUCUCUGUAGCAAUGCCAUCUUCACAGCAGCUCCACCAUCCAUCUUGCUGGGAAUAUCGGGAUGCUUGUGGUGACCCCUCUAUCAAGGCAUCCUGAGAUCUCUGACCAGAAAACACAGCCCCUGGUAAUCCAGAAAUUCUGCCCUCAGAACUGGAUUCCUGGCUCUCCAUUUAGAAAGAAUGGCUCAACAGCAGAUAAAGCAACUCCAUGGACACAUCACAUAG